UACGUAGGUGGCAAGCGUUGUCCGGAUUUACUGGGCGUAAAGCGUGUGUAGGCGGACCUUUAAGUAGAAAGUGAAAGGUUGGUGCUCAACACCAACAUUGCUCUCUAUACUGGAGGUCUUGAGUGUCGGAGAGGAAGAUGGAACUGCACGUGUAGCGGUGAAAUGCGUUGAGAUGUGCAGGAACACCAAUGGCGAAGGCAAUCUUCUGGACGAAAACUGACGCUGAGACACGAAAGCCAAGGUAGCAAACAGG
rnacentral:rRNA from 2 species